rnacentral:rRNA from 1 species
GAUGAACGCUGGCGGCGUGCUUAACACAUGCAAGUCGAACGGAAAGGCCCAAGCUUGCUUGGGUACUCGAGUGGCGAACGGGUGAGUAACACGUGGGUGAUCUGCCCUGCACUUCGGGAUAAGCCUGGGAAACUGGGUCUAAUACCGGAUAGGACCACAUUUUGGAUGGUGUGGUGGAAAGUUUUUCGGUGUGGGAUGAGCUCGCGGCCUAUCAGCUUGUUGGUGGGGUAAUGGCCUACCAAGGCGUCGACGGGUAGCCGGCCUGAGAGGGUGUACGGCCACAUUGGGACUGAGAUACGGCCCAGACCCCUACGGGAGGCAGCAGUGGGGAAUAUUGCACAAUGGGCGCAAGCCUGAUGCAGCGACGCCGCGGGGGGGAUGACGGCCUUCGGGUUGUAAACUCCUUUCGCUAGGGACGAAGCGUUAUGUGACGGUACCUGGAGAAGAAGCACCGGCUAACUACGUG